rnacentral:tRNA from 1 species
GCCUGGGUGGCUCAGUCGGUUGAGCGUCCGACUUCGGCUCGGGUCAUGAUCUUGCGGUUCGUGGGUUCGAGCCCGACGUCGGGCU